rnacentral:rRNA from 1 species
GUGCGAGCGUUAAUCGGAAUUACUGGGCGUAAAGCGUGCGCAGGCGGUUUCUUAAGUCAGAUGUGAAAGCCCCGGGCUUAACCUGGGAACUGCGUUUGAAACUGGGAGACUUGAGUGUGGCAGAGGGGGGUGGAAUUCCACGUGUAGCAGUGAAAUGCGUAGAUAUGUGGAGGAACACCGAUGGCGAAGGCAGCCCCCUGGGUUAACACUGACGCUCAUGCACGAAAGCGUGGGGAGCAAACAGG